rnacentral:rRNA from 1 species
UGGGGAAUAUUGCGCAAUGGGCGAAAGCCUGACGCAGCCACGCCGCGUGUGCGAUGAAGGUCUUCGGAUCGUAAAGCACUGUGGGGGGAGAAGAAACAAGCCGGUGAAGAGCCGGCCCUGACGGUAUCCCCUUAGCAAGCACCGGCUAACUCCGUGCCAGCAGCCGCGGUAAUACGGAGGGUGCAAACGUUGCUCGGAAUCAUUGGGCGUAAAGCGCACGUAGGCGGCCUAUCAAGUCGGAUGUGAAAGCCCUGGGCUCAACCCCGGAAGUGCAUCCGAAACUGACAGGCUUGAAUGCCGGAGGGGCCCAGAGAAUUCCCGGUGUAGAGGUGAAAUUCGUAGAUAUCGGGAGGAAUACCAGUGGCGAAGGCGCUGGGCUGGACGGCUAUUGACGCUGAGGUGCGAAAGCGUGGGGAGCAAACAGG